AACGAACGCUGGCGGCAUGCCUAACACAUGCAAGUCGAACGAGACCUUCGGGUCUAGUGGCGCACGGGUGCGUAACGCGUGGGAACCUGCCCUUAGGUUCGGAAUAACUCUCCGAAAGGGGUGCUAACACCGGAUAAUGUCUUCGGACCAAAGAUUUAUCGCCUUUGGAUGGGCCCUCGUUGGAUUAGCUAGUUGGUAGGGUAAAAGCCUACCAAGGCGACGAUCCAUAACUGGUCUGUGAGGAUGGUCAGCCACACUGGGACUGAGACACGGCCCAGACUCCUACGGGAGGCAGCAGUGGGGAAUAUUGGACAGUGGGCGGAAGCCUGAUCCAGCAAUGCCGCGUGAGUGAUGAAGGCCUUAAAGUUGUAAUGCUCUUUUACCCGGGAUGAUAAUGACAGUACCGGGAGAAUAAGCUCCGGCUAACUCCGUG
rnacentral:rRNA from 1 species